rnacentral:rRNA from 1 species
GAUGAACGCUGGCGGCGUGCCUAAUACAUGCAAGUCGAGCGAACAGACGAGGAGCUUGCUCCUCUGACGUUAGCGGCGGACGGGUGAGUAACACGUGGAUAACCUACCUAUAAGGCUGGGAUAACUUCGGGAAACCGGAGCUAAUACCGGAUAAUAUAUUGAACCGCAUGGUUCAAUAGUGAAAGACGGUUUUGCUGUCACUUAUAGAUGGAUCCGCGCCGCAUUAGCUAGUUGGUAAGGUAACGGCUUACCAAGGCGACGAUGCGUAGCCGACCUGAGAGGGGUGAGCGCCCACACGGGAACUGAGACACGGUCCAGCCUCCGAGGGGAGGGCGAAGGGGGGAUUCUUCCGCAAGGGGCGAAACCCUGACGGACCAACGCCGCGUGAGUAAUGAGGGUCUUGGGAUCGUAAAACUUUUUUAUGGGGGAAAAAAAAAGGUGAAAUUAAAUGUGCACGUCUUGACGUUCCCUAAUAAGAAACCCCCGCCUAACUCCGUC